UGAGCGCGAACGCUGAUACACUUUUUACAGCGCUGUGAAGUAUAAAUGGCGAAAGAGCGAUAAAAAUCUUUCUCUCGUAUGCGGCUGGCAAAAUCUUAUCACCGGCAUAUGUAAAUGUCCGUCUAACGACUUAAUAAAGGCCAGGCGAAAAAGUCCCUGCUCCUCACGUGUCUUUAAAACGCGUCUCGUGAAGAGAUUUCGGAGCACUUCGCUCUCUUUCACCUUUCUGUCGUGUCUCUAUUCAGUCUUAGGUCCUUUUUUUAUUCAUUUUAUUCAUUCAUUGUAUUCCUUUUAUUGUUUUAGACGCAUAAACAGGUCGGAGACCCAACGAGAUACAUUGCCUAUUGGUGCGUUCGUGAUUCCGAAUCAGGACUUCUGUGGCGAUUUCACGAGGUCUACAUGCUGGUCGUGGUCCUCGUGCUACCCCUGAUCAUCAUGGCGUUUUGUUACGCGACCAUCUGCUGGGAAAUCUGGCGAGUUAUGAAGCGUCGAUACCACAUGACGUCGCGACACGCAUUGAGUCCAAGCAGCGUGGACACGGAAUCUAUACCAAUGACGCAACGACACAGUGGAAACGAGCGUAAACCGCGUCGGGACGAUAACGACGAGGAAUCACGGACCAUGAAGCAGGUGGUGAAAAUGUUAGUGGCUGUCGUGGUGUUGUUCGCUAUUUGCUGGGCUCCGAUGCUCAUCGACAACGUGCUAACCGCUUACGGUGUCCUACCGCGUCUCAAGGGUGGAACACACAAGCAUCUCAAUACCGUAUUCCAGUUGAUGGCCUACUUUAAUAGCUGUAUAAACCCGAUAGUUUACGGGUUUAUGUCCAAACACUUCAGAAAGAGCUUCCUGGCGGCUGCCUGCGGCGGAUGGAUUUGCUGUCCUAGAAGAGGCUACCGGUCAUCCGUAACGAGGCAUCCCAGUCUCAGCCAGACCAGAAGCACCAGCGUGAGAUUGAUUCGGAACUCCAUCCGCGAGUCGAGGUUCUGAAACACAACCAAUCCGCAUCUUGUAGUCCAUCCGUGAUGUUGUUUUGCGACACCUUCGUCGGCGAACGACACCUGGUCGACUGGACACUGUUAGAAAAGCGUGCAUGCGCCAUGAAUCUCCGCUUAGAUUGUCGUAAACGAAGGGAACAUGAUUCAAUCGAGAUGGACCUGAUUCUUUCUUCAUUCCCGGAUCAGAUCGCCGAGGGAAGUCUCCGUCAGAUAGGGGAGGAUUUCCGACAGUGAAACGUGAAUAAAUCAAGAAAAGGAGGACGAUUACAAGUUUUAUGAACGCGGGACGACCUUGUCCCUGUCUACAUCGACUGUCUCGAGAGUGACAUAGAACUUACAUGAAGCGACAGUGACUCCAACGCGAGUGCGAAACUUCUAUAUCUUCUAAGGCAAUCUCUCGUAGAUGAUGUAAGUUCCCGAACAUGGUCUAUUUAUUACCUUCGUGUCGCACCUCAUAACGCCAGCAUUCACUCGUCCCGUGGGCAAGAUAAUUGGACAGUUGAUUAAUUGGAUAUUCGGACAAUUGGACGUUUCAACGUUUAUACGGUUAAAGCUGCGAGAGUGGGUGGAUAAGGGUCAGAAAAGUGGGCUUCAGGCGUGAGCAACCAGGGUAGUCGAGCCGUAAAUAGCGUACGAUAUCGUCCGGAUUUAGAAAUCUUACGAAGAUUAUCUCGCGCGAAAACUAUAAAAGCACUCGGUAAAUGCAGCAGAGAAUUAUGCAGGAUUAAAGAAUAAAUAUACAUAUAUUAUAUUCGUUUGAAGAAUUCUCUGAAAAUUUUUAAAUGUCGGUACGUGUCUCUUUAAUUCGUAUAGAAUCGCUUAAGAAUAAUUAGAUAAAAAAUAAGAUAUUCUUGCCGUUCUUCCAAUUUUAGGAAUUCUGCUUCUCGCAAAUAAAACACUACUUUAGCUAAAUUUGAAGCUAGAAAUAGUGCGUGUUUUGUUGCGAACAUUUUGAUCUAAUUUCUGCUGAGUUUUUUUUUUCAAAGAGGAAAUAUAGUGUUUGAUAACUCUAUCCCUAUAAGCGUAUGAUAUUAUUUAAUAUUUAAGCAAUAUUCUAGGCGUAUUUUUAGAAUAUU